rfam:Triticum urartu cultivar G1812 contig150581, whole genome shotgun sequence.
CAGGUACUCCCUCCGUUCCACAAUAUAUGCCUUCCAUUUAUUAAAAUAUAGAUGUAUCUAGACAUAUUUUAGUAUAUAGGUACAUCCAUUUUUAAACAAAUUGAAGUCAAGUAUUUUAGAACGGAGGGAGUAACAG